AUUAACGACCAUCGUCUUCUUGACGCACCUCACUAAACGCACACACACAAACACACAAACCCAUGAAGAUAUUUGGUUUUCAGUGGAGUCCUAUGGAGGUUGAGUCGCGUGAGAUCUGUCCGAAGUUUCCGACGAGGUCCGUUCGUAGUUCCGUCGAGGGUCGAUGAAUUUCCGGGGGUAUGUUUUGUUGAGUUGUUUAUGUUGCUUAUCGUCCAGGGAUGUGUAUGUAUUCAUAAAACUAUUCGAGAAAAACAAUCUGUUUUAAUUAUUUUGUUCAUCUAAUGCUGCUAC
rnacentral:lncRNA from 1 species